rnacentral:lncRNA from 1 species
CUCUCUGCCAGUUAAACCCAGAGCCAAGCAACAAGAGCUCCUUGGAUCACCUUCUUUUCAGCCUCGUCCUGGCUGCCAGGAGGCUCCGUUUCUCCUUCCUCCCGGGUUGCAGGCACCUCCUCCCGCCAGUGACUUCCACCAUGAUUGCUCUUCCCAUUCACAUCCCACGCGAUUACCUCACUCACACCCGGCGGCACCACACGACCGCCACGGAGCCUGUGAGACCCUCCUGUGUCUCA